ACUGCGCCACGAUGGGAACUCCUCAGCACUCUCUUAAUUCCAGCCACUGUUUCACUUUUAAAUGCACCUUAAACAGCGCGUCUUUCUUUGAUUCUUUUCACCUUGCCCGUGUUUGUAGAAGGAAUGAUCAUCCUUGAUUUAUGAGUCAGCCGAGCUGUGCGUAAUUAUUUCUUCAUCUUUACUCAUGGAUUCUUCCAUCCUUUAAUCAUGCUUGUUUUUCCCUAAACUGUCACUUUCUCUACAUUUGUCUGGUAAUGAGGCAGCUGCUGCCGUGUCCAGUUCCUGUUCCGGGGACUCAGGGGCUGAAGAGGGCAGUUAAUGUGCUCAGGCCCCGCCCCUGCCCCUUCACGUUAUGAAUCAGCUUGGCGCUGAUUGAUUGUUCAGCACUUAACACUUUCCUAAUUUCAGCCAUUGUGUUUAUUGGAAGUGCAUGGACCGUGGAAUACCGUGGUUCGCCUCCCUCUCUCCAUCUCUCUGUCUCUCUCUCUCAGUUGUGGUUGGAUGCAUCGCUUCUGCUCUGUGAAUGUACUUACGCACGGUGGCUGCUGAAGAAGGCUCUACACCCACCUCAAUUUUACAUGCUUUUCUGAGUCUCUUUUCUGAAUUUUUUGUGGGCGGGAAUUCUGGAAUAGACAUUGUGAGGUGAAGGAGGGGACUCUGGACCUAGUUUCCCAGAGUCAAGGUUCAAAUCCCCGCCUUCCUCCUCCCCCUUCGUUGUGAGUGACCUUAGGCAAGUCCCUUAACCGCUAGAAGCCUAGCUUUCCUGAUCCAUGGAAGGGAAAUACCCUUGCCUGCUCCCCAGGGUUGCUGUGAGGAUGAGCAGGGACUCACGUGAGCACAGAAUGGGGCAGCGCCCCAGGUGAUAUGCAUUUCCUUCUGUUCGUGCACUUGGCUCCUUUUCCAAACUUUUGGGGUUUGUCGACUAAGAAAAUCUCAAAAUACAUUUUGAUGAGCAUGGCGUUGGCCAAGUCUUUUUUUUUUUUGCCAACUUUCUCUUUUGCCAAGAAAGAACAGUAUAAAAAAACAAAACAAAACAGCAACACAACCUCCGUCUAUUGUCACUAGAUCUCAUAAAAGAAUAUUUGAAAGCAGAAAAUAAAGAGGAUAUCAUUUAAGAAUUAAAAAUGGAAUUGCAUACCUUUAGCUUGUGAAAACCCUCUCUGCAUUAUUCUCAUUUAUCUUAUCUCACUAGGGAAUGGGUGGAAACUUGGAUCCAUAUUUGGGAACCGUUGAGCUCGUUGACAAGUCAGAAGAGCUUUCCAGAUGAGAAAACUGAGGCUUCCACAGCUUUUGGAAAAAGUUCCCCGGAGUCACACCACAGCUGAUGAUUUACCACCGGCUGAGCCCCAGGUCAUCAGGGAACCACCCUGCUGGUCUUGAAGAAGCGAGCUGCAAGGAAAGAAUUCUUCCAACAAGCACACAAGCUUGGAAGAGGACCCCAAGCCUCAGAGGAGACACCAACCCUGGCCACUGCCUGCACUGCAGCUGACCCUGAGCAGAGGAUCCUACUAAGCCAUGCUCAACCUUGGAAACUUCAAGGUCGUAAGUCUAUGUUGUCUAAACCACUAGAAACACACAGCAAUAGAAAACUAAGAGAGGUGGUAAAAAAAAAAAAAAGCAUAAACAAAGGAAAAGGCAACUUAGGAGAUAGAGGAUGAGAUAGCUUCAUUUCCUAACAAACACGAAAUGCCAGUCUUAUUCAGCUUUAGGCAUGUUUGCUGGAUUUUUGCCACUCACAGUAUUCCUACCUCCUACCUCUAAAGUCUUUCAAACAAUGUAGGUAAAGUUGUUUGUAUUUUAUGCCAAUGGAUUAAUGCCAAAUGCUAUGGAUAAGAGGACAAAUACUCUUAAACUAAAUGUAGCUGUCAUCCAGUAAACUUGAGCAAAUUGGCUGUAAAGGACGAAGACAGAGAAGCUAUUGGAAAAUCUGUUCCUCUCCCCCCGUGGAAAGAUUUCUGUUUUUUAUAAUAUAUAAUCAUUAUUUUUAAAAAAUCUAACAAUAGAGACAAAAUGGAAAGGUAUCCUUCUAGGAAAGUCAGUUUUAAGAUUAAGAAAUCAAUGCAAGGAGGGUAUGUGAGGAGGCACUCCUUUAUGUGAAUGGGGGAAAGAAAAGGCUCAAGUCCCUGCACAGGCGCUGCACCCUGGUCCUAGGUGGCCCCCAUAAAAGCUGCCACCACUGUCAUCAUUAUUAAACACACACAAGCCCUUUUAUGUCCAUGUGCUUUCUUGUGUAGUAAGUGCCCAUAGGGAAGAGAUGGGAGUUUGAGAGAAACAAAAUGAGAAGCUGGUAGUCCUGGAAGAUGAAGGCUGACACCCAUGGGUCCUUCCCAUGUGGCAUUCAGAUCAUGCUUGGCCAGACCAGGCUAGUUGGGACGGUGCUGUCCUAGGAGUCAUCACGUGGCCUGAGUGUCCUUUUGACUUUAGAAGGAGCAGAAAAGGAGGCUACCUUUGAGGUGUGAUUUAAAAGCUAGGGAUAAAACUCUGGGCUCAAAAUUAUUUCAGUGACUACCUUUCACUGGACUCCAGGUCACUGCUAAAGAUUCAUUUGGGUGAUUUUGAAAGGUUUUCUGCUUUCAAGAAGACCUUCAUGAACACAGAUAUCCCUGGGAGACACAAAAGGGAGGCUAAACCUUGGAAAAGAUUAGAUGGAACCAGUUGAUAGUACGAGAAUGGCUAAAAAGUGAGAAGAAAGAGAAAGGGCCCAAAUUCCUGGAAACAGCUUAGCCUCUCUUACUGCCUUGUGUGAACAAGAGGGGUGUGUGUGUGUUUGUGUGUGUGUGUGCGCGCGCGCCUCCACUCCUCCCUCCUGCAUCCACUUCAGACAUUGCUGAUGGAUUGGAUGGUGAUGCACAUGCCUACUGGCCUUGAGCAUCCUUCUUACACAGAUUCCCCUUGCUGCCACUGCCAGUCAGCCAGGGCAGGCUGGUGAGAUGAAGCCUUGCUGACCUGAAACCAGGUCCUGGGCAAGCCUUGACUCCUUGGGAUAAGGACUUGAAAAGGUCAUUUCAAGGCGCAGGACAAUACACGAAUUUUGGGGCCCCAGGAUUAGUACAGUGAUAAUAUAAUUAACCACCUGAAUGGUGUUGGUGAUAUGAUAUCAUCUCAUGUAAUCCUCACAACACUCUAUGAGUGCUCCCAUUAAACAGACAGAUCAGGAAAGGCUCAGCUAGUACAUGUCGGUCCCAGGAUCUCCAUUUGAGUCUCCUAACACCGAGCUCAUAUCCUUUCCACCACCCCGUCAGAGCCUGGCUCAGGCACAGCUGUCUGAACUAAUGGGGGCAGUAGUAGAUAAUAACGCAGAAGGAAAGCACCAAACCACUCCAAAAUGGCUUUCACCCCCAUCAUUUUUCCCUGAGACACCCUGGCUAAACUUACCAUCAAUAAUCCCCAUGUUUCUGAAUUCCCUGGGCAUUAAAACACAAACAACAAUUCAUUAAUAAAUUUUCGUUUGAAAAAUGCAAGCCCUUCCAAAGUACGCAGAGUAAAGGGGAGUCUUCCUUCACCUAUCCGUACUAACUCUA